UACGAAGGGGGCUAGCGUUGUUCGGAAUUACUGGGCGUAAAGCGUGCGCAGGCGGCCAUCCAAGUCAGUGGUGAAAGCCCGGAGCUCAACUCCGGAAUUGCCAUUGAAACUGUUUGUCUCGAGUACGAGAGAGGUGAGUGGAAUUCCCAGUGUAGAGGUGAAAUUCGUAGAUAUUGGGAAGAACACCGGUGGCGAAGGCGGCUCACUGGCUCGUAACUGACGCUCAUGCACGACAGCGUGGGGAUCAAACAGG
rnacentral:rRNA from 1 species